ACAACCAGCUAUAGAACGUUGAACGCACCAGUUCCCAAUUGCUCAAAUAAGUUAAGCAACGUUACACGUGGUUGGUAACCGGAUGGGUGACCAUCUGGGCAAGUGCGUGCUUCUGACUUUU
rfam:Asian citrus Psyllid, Diaphorina citri - Florida Strain, whole genome shotgun sequence.